UACGUAGGGAGCAAGCGUUGUCCGGAAUCAUUGGGCGUAAAGCGCGCGUAGGUGGCCCGGUAAGUCCGCUCUGAAAGUCAAAGGCUCAACCUUUGAAAGCGGGUGGAUACUGCCAGGCUAGAGUUCGGCAGGGGAGACUGGAAUUCCUGGUGUAGCGGUGAAAUGCGCAGAUAUCAGGAAGAACACCAAUGGCGAAGGCAGCUCUCUGGGACGGUACUGACGCUGAGACGCGAAAGCGUGGGGAGCGAACAGG
rnacentral:rRNA from 1 species